rnacentral:lncRNA from 1 species
CCUGGUGGCCGUGAGGUGACUCUGAUCCUCUGCUCCCUUCGCCUCGUGUCCCUUUUAAAAGCGAAAAACGUCCGAUCCCCUCGAUCCCUUCGAUCCCCUCGAUCCCUUAUGCCCUGGUGGCCGUGAGGUGACUCUGAUUCUCUGCUCCCUUCGCCUCGUGUCUCAUUUAAAAGCGAAAAACGGCCGAUCCCCUCGAUCCCUUCGAUCCCCUCGAUCCCUUAUGCCCUCGUGGCCAUGAGGUGACACUGAUUCUCUGCUCCCUUCGCCUCGUGUCUCUUUUAAAAGCGAAAAACGUCCGAUCCCCUCGAUCCCUUCGAUCCCUUCGAUCCCCUCGAUCCCUUAUGCCCUGGUGGCCAUGAGGUGACUCUGAUCCUCUGCUCCCUUUGCCUCGUGUCUCAUUUAAAAGCGAAAAACGUCCGAUCCCUUCGAUCCCUUCGAUCCCCUC